GCUGGCUUAGCUCAGUUGGUAGAGCAGCGCAUUCGUAAUGCGCAGGCCGUCAGUUCAAUUCUGACAGCCAGCU
rnacentral:tRNA from 1 species